ensembl:lncRNA
GAUUCAAUAAUAUUUCAAGUUGGAUUCAGCUGAAGGACCCUUCAGAUUCUGUCAUGUAACUGACUACUAAGAGACUUUAACUCUUUCUCUCCCACUCUACCCCGCAUCAUCUGCAGUUGAGCAUUCUUUAGGUCACCCAACUAAGUGGUUCUGGAAGCUAUAAUGAAGUCAUCCAUUACAUAUUCAAUAAAUUCGUCUGCCAUCAGAAGAAAGAGAUAGCAGGUCUUCCUGAGCUGAUCCUGGGAGCAAAGGCACACCAGAUAAUGCAUAUUUGAGUAUUAGGUAUUUCAAAUUCUCUGGUAUCCAACAUGGUUUUCAUCUUCUGCCUCAGGUGUGUGAGGAUAUUCCGAUCUCAUCAAUUGGACUCUCUGCUUGAAUUUCAGUGGCUGAAGUCCUUAUCUUCCAUAACAGAGAAAAAGCUGUCUGGGAACAGAUUUCAGAGAGAAAAAGAGGCAACACAGAGCUGUAGCCUUCUUCUCCCUGCACUAGCAUUAUGAAUGUGCUGUGUCCAGAUUUAGUGUCAUAGAUGUAUUUGCAUGUUCCAUUUCCAUAUUCAUUUGGCACUUGGAUCCUGUACUGAAGCGUAUUUUAUUCCUGCAGAUUGUGGGUGAAUUUUAUAAAUAAGACUGGAG